AAUCAACGCUGGCGGCGUGCCUCAGACAUGCAAGUCGAACGAUUAAACGUUUCCUUCGGGAAAGAUAUAAAGUGGCGCACGGGUGAGUAACACGUAGGUAAUCUACCUUUGAGUGGGGAAUAACAAUCGGAAACGAUUGCUAAUACCGCAUAAUGCAGCGGCACCGCAAGGUGACAGUUGUUAAAGGAGCAAUUCGCUUAAAGAGGAGCCUGCGGCAGAUUAGCUAGUUGGAAGGUAAUGGCUUACCAAGGCUACGAUCUGUAACCGACCUGAGAGGGUGGUCGGUCACACUGACACUGAAUAACGGGUCAGACUCCUACGGGAGGCAGCAGUCGGGAAUUUUGGGCAAUGGGCGAAAGCCUGACCCAGCAACGCCGCGUGAAGGAUGAAGUCUUUCGG
rnacentral:rRNA from 1 species